GCAUAUCAAUAAGCGGAGGAAAAGAAACCAACAGGGAUUGCCCCAGUAACGGCGAGUGAAGCGGCAACAGCUCAAAUUUGAAAUCUGGCCCCCCGGCCCGAGUUGUAAUUUGCAGAGGAUGCUUUUGGUGAGGCACCUACCGAGUCCCCUGGAAUGGGGCGCCAUAGAGGGUGAGAGCCCCGUAUGGUAGGACGCCGAACCUCUGUAAAGCUCCUUCGACGAGUCGAGUAGUUUGGGAAUGCUGCUCUAAAUGGGAGGUAAAUUUCUUCUAAAGCUAAAUACCGGCCAGAGACCGAUAGCGCACAAGUAGAGUGAUCGAAAGAUGAAAAGCACUUUGAAAAGAGGGUUAAAAAGUACGUGAAAUUGUUGAAAGGGAAGCGCUUGUGACCAGACUUGCGCCGGGCGGAUCAUCCAGCGUUCUCGCUGGUGCACUCCGCCCGGUUCAGGCCAGCAUCGGUUUUCGCCGGGGGACAAAGGCUUCGGGAACGUGGCUCCUUUCGGGGAGUGUUAUAGCCCGUUGCGUAAUACCCCGGCGGGGACCGACGACCGCGCUUCGGCAAGGAUGCUGGCGUAAUGGUCAUCAGCGACCCGUCUUGAAACACGGACCGAGGAGUCAAGCAUUAGUGCGAGUGUUUGGGUGUAAAACCCGCCCCCGUAAUGAAAGUGAACGUAGGUGAGAGCUUCGGCGCAUCAUCGACCGAUCCUGAUGUUUUCGGAAGGAUUUGAGUAGGAGCAUUAACGCUUGGACCCGAAAGAUGGUGAACUAUACUUGAAUAGGGUGAAGCCAGAGGAAACUCUGGUGGAGGCUCGCAGCGGUUCUGACGUGCAAAUCGAUCGUCAAAUUUGAGUAUAGGGGCGAAAGACUAAUCGAACCAUCUAGUAGCUGGUUUCAGCCGAA
rnacentral:rRNA from 1 species